rnacentral:rRNA from 1 species
GACGAACCGUACGAACGUUAUUCGGAAUCACUGGGCUUAAAGGGUGCGUAGGCGGCGCGGUAAGUUGGGUGUGAAAUCCCUCGGCUCAACCGAGGAACUGCGCCCAAAACUACCGUGCUCGAGGGAGAUAGAGGUGAGCGGAACUUAGGGUGGAGCGGUGAAAUGCGUUGAUAUCCUAAGGAACACCGGUGGCGAAAGCGGCUCACGGGAUCUCUUCUGACGCUGAGGCACGAAAGCUAGGGUAGCGAACAGG